UACAGAGGGGGCAAGCGUUAUUCGGAAUUAUUGGGCGUAAAGGGCGCGUAGGCGGCAUGGCAAGUGGAUGGUGAAAUCCCUCGGCUUAACCGAGGAACUGCCGUCCAAACUGCUUCGCUUGAGACCGGGAGAGGUGAGUGGAAUUCCCAGUGUAGCGGUGAAAAUGCGUAGAUAUUGGGAGGAACACCAGUGGCGAAGGCGGCUCACUGGACCGGUACUGACGCUGAUGCGCGAAAGCGUGGGGAGCAAACGGGG
rnacentral:rRNA from 1 species